rnacentral:rRNA from 1 species
GUCUACAGCCAUGCCACCCUGAACACUCCAGAUGCUGUCUGAUCUUGGAAGCUAAGCAAGGUCGGGCGUGGUUAGUACUUGGAUGGGAGACCACCUAGGAAUACCAGGUGCUGUAGGCA